AUUUUUUUUUAGUUGUUCCUAAAAGAUCAGGCUUAGGAUUCAAAGCCGUAACGCAUUUAUUGUGGUAACGCAAACUGAAGUCAUGUGAAUCGAGAACCAUAAGGGUUCCAUUAGCACACAUGGAAAGUCGAGUUGGGUCUGUAAUAGCACUGACAGUAAGUCCCAUUCAGGAGCAUUACUUCUUAAAAAUUAAACAAACCUCUCAAGUGGCUUAACGUGUAGCUGACAGUGCCAGCACGCUUCAAUUUCCAUUCAACCUGAAGUUGCCACACUCUCCAUUCUAAAUGGAAAUAGUGUUCUGCUGAUGUCACUGGCAAGCCUCCUUUUCUCCCAGCAAAAAUGUUUGUGUUACGGUGACUUCUUGAUCCCUGAGAAUACGUUUGUCUUGGUGAUCUGCUUCAGAUGCAAAUUGCUAUACCAGUCAGCUUGUGGGAAGAUAAAACCUUUCUUUAUUUUUAGUUCUGUCCAUUUAAAUCCAACGUGCAGUGCUAGAUGUUGGAAUCAACGUGGAUUCUUUCUGCUCGGAAGCCUCUGGGAAGAGAUGUCUCACCCCAGUGCUCAAAGGCUGCUUCUAAUUCUGUUGUUUUUUUAAUGUUAUUUCUUUAAGUGAUACCUAUGGAACGUGUUAGCCACCGAUUUGGGAAAUCUCCCUUGUAUCUCAGUCUUCUGUUUCUCUUGUUUCCUCCCCUGGCCUCAAAGCAGCAGCACAGCUGUGCCAGGAUACCCAGGACUGCUUUUCUGCGCCUCGUCCUUUCAGCCCCAUUGGAUGCUCAGCAGGAGCCGCUCAGUUCACACACGCAGUGCGUUCUGCCUUCCAAGAGCUUUCCAUCAGGCGAGAGGCUCUCUUCUUUUUGCCUGUUUCAAAUGUACCGUUCCACGUGUCCUACAAGAAGUCUUCACGCACCUCUCCAGUUUAGGAGAAUGAGCAAUGCCUCCACUGGGGACUUCCCUGGCAGAUCCACGUCUGAACAGCCAGGGCUGGCUUCCAAGAACAUUAAAUUCCAGCUGCUUUUCCAUCCAAGGCAAGGUUAGUUUAGUAUCCCCCUUCCUCCCUGUGUCUUUACAGCAGGAGAUAUUCU
rnacentral:lncRNA from 1 species